AUGUUAUAAUUUAAUAUCUUUCAUUUAAUUUAAUUUUUUCUACUCCUAUUUUGAAUAUCAUAAUUAAUGCAUUUAUGUUUGCAAAAUAUUUUAAAAAUAAUUUUGGAAUAUAACAUGAUAAGAGAUAAAUAAAAUUUAUCAAUUGAGCAGGGUGACAUAAUUAGAUAGAGACAUACAAAAUACAAACACCUUCCUUCACUCCUAAAGCUGAACCUGAACUGAUUAAAAAGUUAGGGAUGAACCACAAUCUAAUAUAACUCCAUCUUUGUUAAGCACCGGUUCACACAAAUGUUAUUCUUUAGAUAUUUAGAAUCGGCAACAAAUGUUAAACAGCUGCCAACCUGUACAACACAAAAGGCACCAUUUAUAUAUAUAUAUAUAUAUAAAAUGAAAACCCUUAUUACAAUGUAAUUUUCAAACUUGUAGUAGAUUGUAAUUUUCAAAAUACCGUAUCUAUUUAUCA
rnacentral:lncRNA from 1 species